GGAGGAAAAGAAACUAACAGGGAUUCCCUGAGUAAGGGCGACUGAAAUGGGAAGAGCCCAGCGCAUAAGCUCGCUUUGCCCUUAACCGGGCGCGAGCGGUGUUGCGUUUCGGAGGGUCCGGCACGCCGCCUUACGACGCCUAAGUCAUGCUUGAAAGCGGCCACUACCCAUGGAGGGUGAAAGGCCCGUCUGGCGGAGCCCGUGAGGGCAUAAGUGAGGCGGUCGGAAAGGACCUUUCCGUAGAGUCGGGUUGCUUGAGAGUGCAGCCCAAAGCAGGUGGUAAACUCCUUCU
rnacentral:rRNA from 1 species